rnacentral:rRNA from 1 species
AUGAAGCCGGAAUUGCUAGUAAUGGCAGGUCAGCAUACUGCCGUGAAUACGUUCCCGGGCCUUGUACACACCGCCCGUCACACCAUGAGAGUUGGGAAUACCCGAAGCCUGUGAGCUAACUUAUAGAGGCAGCAGUCGAAGGUAGAAUCAAUGAUUGGGGUGAAGUCGUAACAAGGUAGC